AAUUCUCAAACCUUCUUGGUUUCUAUGACCGAGAAGGCUUUGGACUUUGGAGGUCUUUGCUGGCUUUGCGAAAAGUCAGCUCCUCUUAAAUGCAUUAGUGGGGUCCUCUUUGCGGGUCUUUAGGCGUUGAUAAGAUGUUUCUACGUCUUGGGACUUGCUCUGUUUGAUGGGAACUCGCUUCUAACCGUCUCACUAUAAGGAGACACUGUUCGAGCUUUGCUCGACGCACGAA
rnacentral:misc_RNA from 1 species